CCAAUAGCGUAUAUUAAAGUUGUUGCAGUUAAAAAGCUCGUAGUUGAAUUUCGGGGUCAGUAGGUUGGUCGUGCCACUGGUAUGCACUGGCCUUACUGAUUCUUCCUUCUUGAAGAACUGUGAUGUCAUUUACUUGGUGUUGCAGGGAAACAGGACUGUUACUUUGAAAAAAUUAGAGUGUUUAAAGCAGGCUAACGCUUGAAUACAUUAGCAUGGAAUAAUGAAAUAGGACGUUUGAUCCUAUUUCGUUGGUUUCUAGGAUUGACGUAAUGAUUAAUAGUGAUAGUUGGGGGCAUUAGUAUUCAAUUGUCAGAGGUGAAAUUCUUGGAUUUAUUGAAGACUAACUACUGCGAAAGCAUUUGCCGAGGAUGUUUUCAUUAAUCAAGAACGAAAGUUAGGGGAUCGAAGACGAUCAGAUACCGUCGUAGUCUUAACCAUAAACUAUGCCGACUAGGGAUCGGAUGAUGUUAAUUUUUUAAUGACUCAUUCGGCGCCUUACG
rnacentral:rRNA from 1 species